GCUGGUCUGAGAGGACGAUCAGCCACACUGGGACUGAGACACGGCCCAGACUCCUACGGGAGGCAGCAGUGGGGAAUUUUGGACAAUGGGGGCAACCCUGAUCCAGCAAUGCCGCGUGUGUGAAGAAGGCCUUCGGGUUGUAAAGCACUUUUGUCCGGAAAGAAAUCGCACUUACUAAUAUUAGGUGUGGAUGACGGUACCGGAAGAAUAAGGACCGGCUAACUACGUGCCAGCAGCCGCGGUAAUACGUAGGGUCCAAGCGUUAAUCGGAAUUACUGGGCGUAAAGCGUGCGCAGGCGGUUGUGCAAGACCGAUGUGAAAUCCCCGGGCUUAACCUGGGAAUUGCAUUGGUGACUGCACGGCUAGAGUGUGUCAGAGGGGGGUAGAAUUCCACGUGUAGCAGUGAAAUGCGUAGAGAUGUGGAGGAAUACCGAUGGCGAAGGCAGCGCCCUGGGAUAACACUGACACUCAUGCACGAAAGCGCGGGGAGCAAACAGGAUUAGAUACCCUGGGUAGUCCACGCGCUAUACGAUGUCAACUAGUUGUUGGGGGAUUCAUUUUCCUCAGUAACGUAGCUAACGCGUGAA
rnacentral:rRNA from 1 species